GACGAACGCUGGCGGCGUGCUUAACACAUGCAAGUCGAACGGUAAGGCCCUUCGGGGUACACGAGUGGCGAACGGGUGAGUAACACGUGGGUGAUCUGCCCUGCACUUCGGGAUAAGCCUGGGAAACUGGGUCUAAUACCGGAUAGGACUCCGGCCUACAUGGUCUGGGGUGGAAAGCUUUUGCGGUGUGGGAUGGGCCCGCGGCCGAUCAGCUUGUUGGUGGGGUGAUGGCCUACCAAGGCGACGACGGGUAGCCGGCCUGAGAGGGUGACCGGCCACACUGGGACUGAGAUACGGCCCAGACUCCUACGGGAGGCAGCAGUGGGGAAUAUUGCACAAUGGGCGCAAGCCUGAUGCAGCAACGCCGCGUGAGGGAUGACGGCCUUCGGGUUGUAAACCUCUUUUAGCAGGGAAGAAGCGAAAGUGACGGUACCUGCAGAAAAAGCACCGGCUAACUACGUGCCAGCAGCCGCAGUAA
rnacentral:rRNA from 1 species